rnacentral:rRNA from 1 species
AGAAUCAACGCUGGCGGCGUGCCUAACACAUGCAAGUCGAACGAGAAAGUGGAGCAAUCCAUGAGUAAAGUGGCGCACGGGUGAGUAACACGUGACUAACCUACCCUUGAGUGGGGGAUAACCUAGAGAAAUCUGGGCUAAUACCGCAUAAUACCUUCGGGUCAAAGGAGCAAUUCGCUUAAGGAGGGGGUCGCGGCCGAUUAGUUAGUUGGCGGGGUAAUGGCCCACCAAGACUGUGAUCGGUAUCCGGCCUGAGAGGGCGCACGGACACACUGGAACUGAAACACGGUCCAGACUCCUACGGGAGGCAGCAGUGGGGAAUUUUGCGCAAUGGGGGAAACCCUGACGCAGCAACGCCGCGUGGAGGAUGAAGUCCCUUGGGACGUAAACUCCUUUCGAUCGGGACGAUUAUGACGGUACCGAGAGAAGAAGCCCGGCUAACUUCGCGCCAGCAGCCGC